AACGAACGCUGGCGGCAUGCCUAACACAUGCAAGUCGGAACGAAGGCUUCGGCCUUAGUGGCGCACGGGUGCGUAACGCGUGGGAAUCUGCCCUUGGGUUCGGAAUAACUCAGAGAAAUUUGAGCUAAUACCGGAUGAUGACGUAAGUCCAAAGAUUUAAUCGCCCAAGGAUGAGCCCGCGUAAGAUUAGCUAGUUGUGGGGUAAAGCCUACAAGGCGACGAUCUUUAGCUGGUCUGAGAGGAUGAUCAGCCACCACUGGGACUGAGACACGGCCCAGACUCCUACGGGAGGCAGCAGUGGGGAAUAUUGGACAAUGGGCGAAAGCCUGAUCCAGCAAUGCCGCGUGAGUGAUGAAGGCC
rnacentral:rRNA from 1 species